rnacentral:lncRNA from 1 species
UGACCAAGUCUGCGUACUUCAUUCCUGUGUGUACUGCCUAUUCUUCAGAGCGUUUAGCCAGGAUUUACAUCCGGGAGAUUGUUUGAUUGCAUGGUGUUCUGAUUUCCAUCAUCUCAGAUAAUCGUACUCAGUUUACUUUGCAGUUUUGGAGAGUCGUGAAUAGUGAGUUGGGUACUUAGGUGGAGAUGAGCACAGCGUUUC